rnacentral:piRNA from 1 species
UGCUCAGAAGAAGGCUGGUCUGGUCC